AUGCAGUCGAGCGGACAGAAGGGAGCUUGCUCCCGGAUGUUAGCGGCGGACGGGUGAGUAACACGUGGGUAACCUGCCUGUAAGACUGGGAUAACUCCGGGAAACCGGAGCUAAUACCGGAUAGUUCCUUGAACCGCAUGGUUCAAGGAUGAAAGACGGUUUCGGCUGUCACUUACAGAUGGACCCGCGGCGCAUUAGCUAGUUGGUGGGGUAAUGGCUCACCAAGGCGACGAUGCGUAGCCGACCUGAGAGGGUGAUCGGCCACACUGGGACUGAGACACGGCCCAGACUCCUACGGGAGGCAGCAGUAGGGAAUCUUCCGCAAUGGACGAAAGUCUGACGGAGCAACGCCGCGUGAGUGAUGAAGGUUUUCGGAUCGUAAAGCUCUGUUGUUAGGGAAGAACAAGUGCGAGAGUAACUGCUCGCACCUUGACGGUACCUAACCAGAAAGCCACGGCUAACUACGUGCCAGCAGCCGCGGUAAUACGUAGGUGGCAAGCGUUGUCCGGAAUUAUUGGGCGUAAAGGGCUCGCAGGCGGUUUCUUAAGUCUGAUGUGAAAGCCCCCGGCUCAACCGGGGAGGGUCAUUGGAAACUGGGAAACUUGAGUGCAGAAGAGGAGAGUGGAAUUCCACGUGUAGCGGUGAAAUGCGUAGAGAUGUGGAGGAACACCAGUGGCGAAGGCGACUCUCUGGUCUGUAACUGACGCUGAGGAGCGAAAGCGUGGGGAGCGAACAGGAUUAGAUACCCUGGUAGUCCACGCCGUAAACGAUGAGUGCUAAGUGUUAGGGGG
rnacentral:rRNA from 1 species